AGCGCGGUUUAGGAGCAUUUUGCAUUCUUUUAUUAAAAUAGCAUUUAGAGAUAAAAGUUAGCGAGGCCAAAUGGGGUGAUCUAAAUUGUAUUCGUGCAUAUUUUAGUGGUAGGUUUAGCAAAUAGCAACUGGUAGCAGCAGAUGGUGUAGUCCACGUAAGCUGCUUCUUGUGUAAAUAACUUCAGAAACCUGUAAUAAUGCAGAAUAAUUAAUAGUUAUAAUACACGACCAGUUAGUUCCCACUCACUUCACCCUUUACCUUGCUGUCCAAAACGAGAGGCUUCUGUCUUGUUUGCACUCAUUGACCCUUAUGUUUGCGCUGUUGCGCCGCUGCACGCUAGAGGGCGCUGUACUCCCCUAAACCACGUGUGGUCCAUGAUUGAUGACGACAGCAGACGGAGCAGACGCCCUGUAAAGAAAGGUGGUGCUAAGGACUUCCAUGGCCAAAGCUGCCCUGGGGUAGACUGAUGGAAGUGAGGCAGCCAAUCUCUUGUCGACAGGACCAGUAACCACCACCACAUAUCACAUUCAUGCACUGGAAGUAAACAGCUCCAUCAGAAGCUCAGAGAGUGGAGUUUACUGCUAACCUGUAUGCGAGGAAUGUAAUCACCAACAUACCAACAGACUGUAUAAUGUAAAUUCCCAACGCAGCUGCAGUGUGCCUGGUUCUGAAAGGCUAGCAGGAUGUAUCAUGCUGCCCCCUGCCCAAACACUGGCUGGAUGAGCGGUUGGUAUCCCACAGUGAGUGCUUACACAGAGCAUACACGGCUAAUACCUGGAAAAUACUUCUCCGGAGACGUCAUGGCUGUAAUGACUCUAACCAAUGGGACUGAUG